GACUCAGUGGUCCAAUGGUGAAGCGCUCGUCCGGUAGCCAGUGGGUCCUGGGUUCGAUCCCCGAUGGGGUCG
rnacentral:tRNA from 1 species